CCAACACCCACUAAAUGUUUUCCCAGACUCCUGUAAACAGAGGCUACAUAAUAUUGCACCUGGAGAAAGGGAGCAAUUCCAGCUUUCCGGUUGACAGCAUGACAGCAGUUCCAGCUCUCAGAGGAACAGCACAGGAGCAGCUCCAGCUCUCAGAAUUACAGCACAGGAGCAGUUCCAGCUCUUGGAGUCACAGCACGGAAGCGGUUACUGCUGAUUUUCAGCCAAAGAAGAGCUAAAUGGUUGAAGAGAGAGGAGAGCAAGAAGAUAGAAACAGAAUUUUCCAGAGGUUUUUGGGAAUGGGGAAUUCGCACAUUCUCUGGACAACCUGUGCCAGUAUCUCACCACCCUCACAGUAGACAAUCUUUUCUUAAAAAUUUGGAAGGCAGAAAGAAUGAAGGUGCCAUGUAAGAAACAAAGAGACAUUUGUCCUGGAGGAAUCCCACCGAGAAGCAAAGUGCUGGGGCAGUUCCAGGCUAAUGUCCCAUCACUAAGCCUGGUCAAUGCCAUCGAGUUUAGCUGCAGGGCUGGUGCCAAGAAGAUGGUGUCACACUUUUUUUGGUGAUGCCCAGCGACAGGACGAGGAGCAAUGGCCAUAAACUAAAACACAAGAAAUUCCAACAUGAAGAAGAAUUUCUUUCUAUGGAGUGUGGCGGAGCUCUGGAACAGCUGCCCAGGGAGA